CUUGGGGGGCGGGCCCUAACACAUGCAAGUCGAGCGAGAUCUUCGGAUCUAGCGGCGGACGGGUGAGUAACGCGUGGGAACGUGCCCUUCUCUACGGAAUAGUCCCGGGAAACUGGGUUUAAUACCGUAUACGCCCUUCGGGGGAAAGAUUUAUCGGAGAAGGAUCGGCCCGCGUUGGAUUAGGUAGUUGGUGGGGUAAUGGCCUACCAAGCCGACGAUCCAUAGCUGGUUUGAGAGGAUGAUCAGCCACACUGGGACUGAGACACGGCCCAGACUCCUACGGGAGGCAGCAGUGGGGAAUCUUAGACAAUGGGCGCAAGCCUGAUCUAGCCAUGCCGCGUGAGUGACGAAGGCCCUAGGGUCGUAAAGCUCUUUCACCAGGGAUGAUAAUGACAGUACCUGGAGAAGAAACCCCGGCUAACUCCGUGCCAGCAGCCGCGGUAAUACGGAGGGGGUUAGCGUUGUUCGGAAUUACUGGGCGUAAAGCGCGCGUAGGCGGGCUGUUAAGUCGGGGGUGAAAUCCCGGGGCUCAACCCCGGAACUGCCCUCGAUACUGGCAG
rnacentral:rRNA from 1 species